rnacentral:lncRNA from 1 species
AGAAAAAGAGGGUCUAUUUUCCCUUAACUUUUUGCUUACUAUGUUGUCCUUUUGGUGCAUCAAUUCCGUGUGAUUCAUCAUGAAAUUAUUUUUGCUUUCUUGCAGUGUGUUCCAGGAGAUGAUGAGGAGUCAAUGGGCUCUGUUCAUGUAUUAACACGGGGUUACUAUAUUCUGCCUUGUUUUUUCUUGUUUGAUAGAAGUCCCAAGCUCUUGAAUCUGGUGCUGGAUGUGAUGAGCUCAUCGAUAACUCAAAGUAGUUCACUUUCAUCUAGUGGUCAUACUCGUUAUACUAGGAGUUACUCGAGUAGGAUUAAUGCUAUUGUUUCAAUCCUAUUAUUGAUGCACAAGGAUGCUAAAAUGCAGCAAAUUAUUUCCUCAGCGAGGGCCGAGAUUGACCUUAUUUCAGAAAACAUAUGCUCUUUACAGGUACAGAUUUUGCUCAAACGUACCGCUUAAUUGUUUGAAGUUAGCAGGUGCUAGGUCUAUGUGAUACAGUUUUAAUCUGCACUUUAUUGCAUCUCUUGUUACUGUUUUGCAGUCUUCUGAGGAAAGCAAUCUGGACAUCGGAGAAAGGCAUAGAAUACAAAGAGCAUUAGACCAACUAAAGGCACUGACAACUUCAUUACCUCGGGAGACGCAAACAGCAUAGCAAGAUGUAUUGCCCUGAUUUAUUGUACCUCCACACUUUGCAAUGGCAUGCAUGCCUACAGUUUUGAGUUAGCUAAUAUAGAUGAUUCUAAGGUGAAAAUGUUCUCUUCAUUUACGCGUGAAUAUCACUUAUAAAAUGCAGAAAAUAUAAGGACAAAUUCUUCAUCAAUGAGAUGUGGGAAAGCCGCUUUUUCUUCUCUCACUUUACUCAUGAUUUUUGCAAAUUAGGGUUUUAAGAUUAGUGGGUACAUUUGAGUUUGGGCACAAACCAAACCAAGCAAGAGUUUCUGAUUUUGGGUUUGAAUGGGUAGAAUUAGGGAAUAAAGGUAUGGUUCAUUGUUUUAUUUUAUUUAAUUUUGUAUAUCAGUAUGUAUAUCUACUGGACAAAAAAAUUUACUGUUUCUUCAAUAUGGUGAUCGAUCCGUAAAGAGAUAGAUGGAUAAAGAUAGAAUAGAAGUGAGUAGAGCCAGCGAGAGGAGUAAACCAAAGGAAAUUGAGUCAAAAGGUCCUAUUAUCGUUCUAUGCAUAUUUGAUUAUUUUUAUUUUUUAAGGGUUAGGGUUAUGAUAUCUUUUAACAGCAGCAAAUGUUAAUAUCAAAGGAAAGAUUAUUUGUGAAAUUGGGAAAAAAAAUUCCAAACAUUAACCUUGAUCUAACUUUCAAAUUUGAUAUUGUAAGGAUUUUGAAAUUAAAUUGCAUGUAGCUCGUAAAUUUCUUGAAUUUAAUUAAAUUUUUUUUAUAUAUAAUUAUAAAAUUGAGGUUAAAUUAAAAUUAUAUGAUUCAGUUGGGCUUUUAAAAUGAUUCGAAACGAAUAAAUAAAUUUUAUUUAAAUAUAGUACUAUUAUACUUAUUGUUACCUUUUAUUAUUUUUAAUUUUUUUAAUUUCAUGAUAUUUCUAUCGUUCGAAUAAAUAAAAUAUUCAAAUUUAAGUUCUAUUUUAAAUGAAAAACUUCCACUUUCUUCAUGAGAAGCAUUCAUAGUAGAAAAUCCAAAAAGAAAAAAUCAUUAAAUAUUAUUCUUAAUUAAUGUUAAUUUCAUAUUAUUAUUACUAUUUCUCAGCCAUUAAAAUCAGAAUUUGGCGGGAAAUUAAACUUUUCAUUCUUGUUGCCGCUAAAAUAAAUUUGCGCCGAAGGGCUAAAAUCGCGAAAAUAUACGUGAAGAAACCAAAUGGGUUCUAACGGAGAGAAGAAGACGGGAAUUCAAUGAAUAAAUGCAGUCCAAAAUAAGUUUCUUCUUUAAGCCAUCCACAUCGUCGUCUUCUGCAAAGCCCGUUCAGAGUCCUGCUCCGAUUUGUCGCGAAGGUGACGAUGAAUUGGCGCUUUGGGAGAAUACUAAACACGAAUUUAUCAGUACUUACAAGCGUAGAGCUCCAAAAUCAGACGACAGGUACGAAAUUUCUUUCAUAUAAUCUCCUUCUUGUUUCUCUUUUUUCGGUUUUGAUUGGGAUUGGGAAGCUGCUUUUUUUUUUUUUUUUUUUCUUUUGUUUUUGAACUUUCAUUUUUAAUAGUUUGAUUUAUAUCUCAGUUUGGAUUCUGUUUGUUCGAUGAGAAACCUUAGGAAAGGAAAAGAAAAGAAAGCUUUCCCUUAUUCAAUCGAGCAAAUUAUACAGCUUGUCACAACAUUUAUCAUAAACCAAAUACGUCUUUUACUUGUUAGUUGAAAUUUUUUUUUUUUGGUCAAAUUUAGGGACAAGACGAUUGAAGCCAAUGAAGAUACAAUAACAAAACCAAUUUCAAGGGAUCUGAGUUUGAAACCAGAAUUAUUGAGUUUUGGGAAAGUUCUCAACAAGAAGAGAAACUACGCACAGUUUUAUUUGGACUUGGGUCAAUCUGAUUUCAAUCUCCGUACAUGUUCGAUAUGUGGGGUGAAAUAUGCCCCGGGGGAAGAAGGAGAUGAGAAGGAACAUAAAACAUUUCACAGGAAUUACACUCAUGGAGUUCAAUUCAAGGUAUAUUUGUAGACACUACAGCGGCUAAUUGAGUUUAUUUUGUUCUGUCUUCAUGAUUGAUCUAUUAUACAUGUGAAUUCUAUAGGGGUUCCAGAAUGAAAGGGUUGUUGAUAUACCUUGCAAUGAAGGGGGGCGCAUUGUUUUGGUUUUAGAUAGUGACUCUGCUGCUCAGAGGAAUAAGGUUUGCAUUUUGUCUUUCAAUUUCUCGAAUUUGGUUUUUAUGUUUUUCAAAAGAUAAAAAUUGUCGUGAAAUAGUUUUGAAGUACUUGAUACCUAUGCCUUAAGUGCAUACAGGUCCACAUGUUAAUUGGGAUGCUACUGUUUUGACAGGUACAGGAGGUUGUAAAGAUGAUGGAAAUUGAGCUUGGAGGUGGAUGGAUUUUUCGUAAGCUCUGCAAGGUAACAGAUUUGUUGAGAACUAUUAAAUUGCGACCAAUUUCUAAGCUUUUUUUUUUUUUUUUUUUCAUUUGUUAAUUUUUCUCCCAUUUAGGAUCUAUUUCAACCCCAGAAACAAUUUCAGUACAACUAAAUCAUAGUUCAUUAGCCUUUGUUUUAAAGGUUUUAAUUCUGGCUUCUUCAUAAUGCUUUGAAUUAGAAAAUUCCAUAUACCUGGUGUUUGGAGUAUAUUAGAAUUACAAUCCAAAAUCUUAUCGUGCGGUUUUGCUUUUUCACUUAUGCUUUGAUAAAUUUUGGUUUCCUAUCCUUUUUUCGUCUUUUGGAAGCAUGACAAGUCUUGAUUUUCUUUCUUUGCAAUCUUUCUGACCCUGAAGUUUGUAGGCAUAUCUUUUCAUCUGUUCCCACAGAGUCGCUGGUUGUUUAGUUGCUGAACCAAUACAAGAAGCGUUCAAAGUCCUUCCGCCUUCAGUAGAUAGAAGAUCUAAUAAUGCUACUAAAAAGGAUUCAAAAUCAAAAUGUACCACUCUCCAAUUUGGGGAUAUUAUCUUGCACAGAGAAAUAACAAAGAAAAUACCAUCUGUAAACUCUCUUGAAGUAUUGGAUAGGAACAGCAAUGGAGCUAUUGUCUGUGAAGAGGAAGCUACACCUGCUAUUUGUGGCAUUAGAGCAGUCUGGGUCACUCCGUCCAACAGAAGAAAACGCAUUGCCAGUCAGUUACUGGAUGCUGUGAGGUAAAUUAGCAAGCUUCAACUCUUUUUACAAUUCUGAUAAUUUCAAAUGUAAUUCUCUUAUACGCCGUGUUAGAACUGAGUUUAGUGUUUAUUAUUAGUCUUCCACAUAUGAGCAUUAGAUAUGUCUAAGUAGUCAAUUUCUAAUUCCUUGUUCAGUUACAAUUUCAACUUUAGAUUUUAAAAUCAAUAAACAAACCAUUGAUAUGAACUCCAAUAGAGGUUAUAAUUUUUCAGAAAUCCACUAGCAAAUAAUUGGUCUUCAUAUGAGCUUAUGUGUUACCAUUUCAAAACUUGAUAAAACAAAGAAAGUGUGAAAACAAUAAACUUACAGGUCUUGACUUUAUGAACGAAUGAGUGAAUACAUUUGUCUUGUCACUUCUAGCACUACUUUGGCGGAAUUGUCGGUCUGGCUCUUACAAUUCUGGUUCAAAAAAUUAACAUUUCACUUGUGUUUCUAUGGAAUGCAGGAGAAGUUUUUGCAUGGGUUUUACUCUUGAACAAUCCCAGAUUGCAUUUUCACCACCAACCUCAGCUGGAAAGGGAUUGGCAUCCAGUUUUACUGGCACUGCAUCUUUCAUGGUAUACAAGCCCAUUGCUUUAGACGGUUGAAUGCUCUCAUUUUAGCCCUCUUUGCAUUACCCGUUGUGGUUUGGCAUAUAAGUGAGUUAGAAAAUAAUAAUAUGCUUUAAUUGCACACUAAUUGAUGGAUUAAAAAAAAAAAAAAAAAAAAAGAUGGUAUGUGAAUUUUGUUUUUCUUCACCUAGUCAACAAUUAGUUGUGGCAUGUUUAUGUGUUCACUUUAUCCUCGUCUCCAUUGAAAUUUGUAUCCAAUUGUGGUAAUGUAUCCCUACUUACUAUUGGUAGAAAAAGAAAGAAUCUUUCUUAAGGUUUCAAGAAGUUGAACUUUUUGAGAUGUUUAUUUUGCAAGAAGUAAACUCAAAAGGUUGAAUCCGUUGAGAAAUAGGUAGAAUUGCUUUGUUUUUCUUUUCCUUUUUUUUUUUUAUUUUACAAGAAAGAACAGAUUCAAAUUUUUCAGCAUUGAAGAAGCAAUGCAUUAGGAAUUUAAAUGUUUAAUUUCUUGAGUGGAAAUAGAAUAAAAUUACUUGAAAUGAUAAUAUUUCUAACCUAAAAGAAAGGAACAAUAUCAUAUUUUUCAAUGUACUUUUAACCUAAAAAAAAGAUUUAUGAACUUAAAAAGAAAAUUAUGAACUGAAACUACGCAAAUUCAAAAUUAAUAACCUAUCAACAAAUGUCAAUUUCCGAUACGCACAUUAGAGCCAAAUGAACCUUACAUUUUGAGGGAUGUUAGGGUAAAAACAGAUACAAAUGAUUCACAAAUCAAUUAUUCAAACUUCAGGUUUCAACGUCUCAUCAAUAAGCUUUCAAAUGAUCAUCUCUUGAUCAUGUAAACUUUAAUCAAGAUCAUUAAAAAAGAAGCAUGUUUCGAUUCUGCUUUAUUUCAUCUGUAAAUAGAGACCGGUAAUCUAAUCAUCCACAUGAUUGAACAAGUUGCAUAGAAGAUUCUUAUAUACGCGGCUAAAUUGAAUACAAAACCUGGCAAAGCACCAAAAAGAAAAAGGCUUUUUGCUAUGCUAUCAAUGAGAUUUACUAAAUGAACAUUUUGACGCGGGUUUACGAUAGGGAGGACUUUAUAUGCAUUUUGGCGUUAGUUUCAUUUUGAGCAGAGUAAUUCCCUUCAUCUUCAUCUCCCUGAAGAUAUGGACCAAAUAGCUUCAUAACUUGUUCAUAAACAGGUUUCUUGAAAUCCACAGCCUGUUUAACCAAACAAAAUAAGUAUCUACCUACAAAUAUAGAACUUACAGCAAGUUUUUUAUCCAGUAAGGUUUUACUCACAAGCUCUACUACUCGCUCCGGUAACAUCCAUGACCAGUCCUUGAAUUCUGGCUUUUCAGAUCCAUCUCCCAAAAGGUUGAUCUCUUCCUCCUUACCAGUAAACUUAAAUAGAAACCUGUUAUUAUUUAAAAAAUUGUUUGCAUAAGGCAAUGUUUAGAUCAAGAAAAAGAAGUAUGAAACUAAACAUUAAUGGGCAGAACCAACUCCAUAUUUGCAAUUCUUUUAACAUGAGAAAUUAUUCGAUCUUGCUUAAUGAUUUCCCUAAAUUGUAAAUACCAAGACAGUUUCCCUAAAUUGUAAAUACCUCCCUAAAUUGUAAACACCAAGACAGUUUCCCUAAAUUGUAAAUAGCCCUGCUUAUGAAUUCAAUUAACAGAAUUCUGCAUAUCGAAACUAAAUUUUAUAUAAAAUCUAUAUCUCAAAUUCAUUUAUACCAACCAAGUGCUAAGGUAAAUGACAAAGAAAGAAUACAACUUUUAACAAUAAGCAAAGUCCAUUUGUAAAGCAGAAUAAACAAAAUUCUGGGAACAAGUACACAAUGGCCGGAACAGGAGAUAAUCACAAAAUCAGGUUAUACAACACCCUGCAUAAUAACAAAUAAGCCCCCCAUUUCCCUACAAACAAUUCCCUGAAAUUGGAUGUUUUAAACCAUUACAAAUCAUAGCCAACCGAUAAUUAACAGCAGAAAAUACAGCAAACAUAAGGAAGACAACGGCAUGAGCUUGAAUUGAUGAUAGAUACGAUGAAUAAUAAUAAAGUAGCUAAAACACACUAGAUAGACCAUUUCAAUGUUAUUGCUUUUUGAGAGAGAAUUUGCUCACCAUUUCUGUGCUUGACCUUUGUAAUUUGUACCCCAUCUGCGAUUAAGUCUCUCUCUAACUUGAAGUGGGAAGUCAUAAGUUAGCCAGUAUGGAGCCUGUAAAUACAAAAUCAAUAUCAGCUGAAUAAUAUAUGAAGUAAACAUGUCUUUCCAUUCUCUAACAUGUUCUGCAUGACACAAAAUAGUGCAUGUCAAGACAAUUAGCAUUCAAGUAGGCAAACCGAAAAUAACAAGCUAAAUACCUCGGCGAGAAGCUCUGCAGAAGUAACUCCUGUUUCUUCCCUCAAUUCUCUCAUCGCUGCAUUUAUAAGGUCCUCACCUUCAUCAGCACCCCCCUGUUAAAUACAAGCCCAUGAGGCCAUAGUAAUACAAAUCCUUCUUAUAUGUUAUUUUAUCUCUUCAAGCUCCUCUCAUCCCUUAAUAUGGAAACAACUCAAACGAAACCCUACUCAUAUUAACAAGCAAAUACUUAAAUUAAAUAGAAUUCAAAAUUGCUACUCCAUUAAUUUCCCAUCAAUUCAACGAAAACAAGCUACCAGUAUCUUUUCCAAUGCCAAUUAUUGAAAGCUAUAUCUGAAGCUAAAAUCGAAUUUAAACAAAACCCAUAAAAGAACUGAAUCUACCUGAGGCAUUUGCCAAGUGUCUGGUAUGUUUAUCCUCGAAGCUGUAAAGAUCUACAAAUUAAACCCAAAAAUUACCUAAUUAACGAACCCAAACAACUCAUUUCAUAUGUAAAAACAAAAAUUCGCCUCAAAUUUCUAACCUGUUUAGAGGGAUUAACGAGACAUAUCCCUACAUUUCUUCUAUACCCUUGAGGAGGCGAUUCCAUUGAUAAGGCUGUUAGAGAUAACGAAGCAGACACCUUCCAGGGUUUAUUCUUCAACGUCAACAAUGGUACGGGCGCAAAUUCGCCAAACUUUGAAGGGCAGUUUCGACCUGAGAACCGAUAAACUUGGGGAUUUCGUAGAAACUCACACGACCCCAUCGCGACGCGUCGUUUUUGCGGUUUCUGGUAACUUACUUGGUCCCCAAGUCAGUAUAUAAACCGUUUUGAGAAAAAACUACAUGCUUUCCUCUCACGCUCUCUGGUUAUUAAUUUCCAUUAUUCCCAAAAUACCCCAACCGCCUUUCUGUAUUUACCAUGUCAUCCCUCUGUUGCCUAAAGGGCAAAGGCUAAACCCCGCCAUUUAUAUAUAAGCCCCUCUCCUCUGUUUUCACUUGACAGCCAAUUCUCUUCGUUUUCAUGUACUCAAAACCCCCAAAUUUCACCUAAUCCGUGACGUCAUCUUGCCGGAAUCGGGCGUGAAUAAUGAUGGAGGAGGAGUUUGUGACGGCUAAGUCCAUGGGGUCUUCAUUUUCGGUGGUAUUCUACGACGGCGAGCAGGAGACUAGCCUUGGCAACGUCGUCGUUUCACCUUCCUUGAAUUUCAAAGCUUUUCAAUCGACUAUUAGCGAGAAACUCGGUUUGUCUCCUCACCAGUUCUCUAUUUACAUGACGGACCAGAAUAGGCGUGGCUCCAGAAUCCCUGUGACCGGAAAGAUUGAUUUCUCAGCGGUUUCUCGCGAGAAGGAUUGUUUCUUUCUCGUGGUUCUUAAGCGAUCGAGGCGCGAGAGGAGGCGAAAAAGCCGCGAAGUUGCCGAAAUUAUGCAGAACAACCACCGGUUCGAUCCACCGGCGAAUAUGAUGCUCUUAAGGCGAGACGGUAAUACUAUUGCAAUCAACACUAACGAGUUUUCAGGUGUUGAUUUGGGUCGGGCCGGGUACGAAAGACGGGUCAAGGAGUUGCAAAUGGAGAAAGAAAGGUACUUGAUGAAUAUGGGUUUGGGUUCGGGUAUGGUCUAUGAAGGGCUGAGUUUGGGAUCAGAAAGAGUUAAUAAUAGAACAGUAGUUUGUGACGAAUGCUUGAUGGCUAAAGUGAUGGGUAGAGAUGUUGGAUUCCAUUGGUGUGUUAACGACACUGUCACUUUCGGAUUCAGAUCGCCGGCGGGCCCGAUUGCCCGGCCAAUUAAAGGAUCCGAUUGAGAAUUUUUUUUGUUUUGAUUGAGGAUUUACUUCUGUGAAUAGCAGAAAAAAAAAAAAAAAAACAAGAGAAGAGGAAGGUGAGAUGAUUUGGUGUGGUAUAGUGUACGGUAAGGAAGGGUGUACCUUACUACACAAAGUACAUGAAAAUAUAUACUGAAUCUGACCCUUAAUAAGUUAGAUUAAGGGGUAUAGUAAUGAAGGUGUAUUGGUAUAUACGAAGGACAUUUUGUGCCUCCAAAGAAGUAGGGAUUCUGCUUUUGGCUACAUAAAACAAAAUACAAUUGGGUUGUGAAUUGUUAAAAUGGAGAAGGUGACAUUUGAUUUUAGGUUUUGGGUUUUUCUUGGAAUCUGGCUUCCAAUUGAAGAAGAAAAAGAAAGAGUGGCAAUUGAUGGUAGGUGCUUUUUGGUUAAGCUUUCAAGUAUUGCUAAAAGGAUAUUUUGGUAUCAAAGAGGGCAUUAUUGAUGUUUGAUUGAAAAAUGAAAAGAGAACUAUUCCUUUCUUUUUCUUUUUUUCUUCUUUUCUUUGGUUGUGUUUUUUAUUUUAAGGCCAAGGCCUUUUUGUCUUUGGGCAUGUGAAGUGUGAAGUGAAGCUGCUUAGCUUUAAUUUGUAUUUCCAAUGCAAUAGUACUCAAUUGGGGACAUUUAUUAAAAGGAAAAUAGCAUUAGUAGUACCAUCCUGCUUAACAGUUGUGACAAAUAAAAUGGGUUCUUCCUAGCUGUUUAUCAACUUGUUGUGAAUCAAUUUAUAUUUUAAUGUCAAUGUAAUUGUUAGGGCCAAUUAUGAUAUGAAGGUUUUAAGUUGGGGGUUGCUACUCUGCCUUUAGGGGAAAGUAAGAAGACUUUUACCUUGACUUAGAAAAAAAUUACCACUUUUUAUAAAAUAUUAAAACAUUUUACAGAACAUUGAAAUUUGAAUUCAUUGUUUUGUAAUUCAGCAAUUUUAAAAAAAUCACUUAUUACAAAAUAUUGCAAAAUAUUAGAAAAUAUUGAUAAAAAAGCUAUAAUUUUGUAACUCAUCAUUUGAAAAAAAAACAAACAACUAUCUUUUAUGAAAUAUUAUAAAAUAAUGGUAACUGUGGCAAUCGGGGAUUAUUUGUAAACCACUAACUUUUCAUUAAAAAAAAGGGGUCACAUUUUACAACAUAUUAAAAAGUAUUAUAAAAUAUUGACAAUUGAAGUUAGUAUUUUGAAAUCCCACGAUUUUGACAAAAAAAAAAAAAAAAAAUCACUUAUUACAAAAUAUCAUGAAGUAUUAUAAAAUAUUGGCAGUUGGAGCUAUUAUUUUGUAAUUUGACAAUUUAAAAAAAAAUAACUUUUUUAUAAAUUAUUGAGAAUUAUACAAAAUAUUGGUAAUUGGAGCUAUUAUUUGUAAUCCAAUAACUUUACAAAAAAUAGUCAUUUUUUACAAGAUAUUUUAAAAUAUUACAAUAUAUUUUUGUAAUCGUGCUUAUUAUUUUGUAAAUUGUCACUCUUUACAAUAAACAUCCAUAAAAACUUGAUUGCCUUGAUUUUCCUUCAAGGCAUUAUAGAAAAUGCCUUUAUGUUGUCUUCCAAGAAAUGAUCUACUCCAUUCUCAAUCGAUUAACGUUCUCUCUUGCCCAUAUCUUAUAUCUUGAAGGCAGCAAUCAUUUUUUUUUUUUUUUUUUUGUCUUGUAUUAUUUAUUACUCCCUCCAAUUCAUUUAUUUGAACUGAAAUUGCCAGAAAUUGUUCAUAAAUUAAGAAAUGGCAGUUUUUUUUUUGCUGAAAUUUUUUUUUUUUUUUUUUUUUUUUUUUUCUCAUUUGCCCCCAACAUUGCAUUAACUACAUCUUUUUUUUCUUUUGAAGUCAACUAUCUCACGCUGAUUUCAUCCAACAAAAGGCAUUUAAUGUUUUUAAUCCAAAAUUAACAUAUUGAAUGGAGGAAAAUUACCACAUUGCCCAUGAUUGAAAUUAACUUCCUAUUUUGCUUUUGCAGGGAAAUUUGAACUGAAUUGUUAACUUUACAUAUGUGCAUAUUUGAUAAUGAAAAUAUGAAAAAAUUUUGAUUUUGGGGUCAAAGUUUUACCGUCUCCUCAAUUCCUUCACAAAUGGCUUUAUAUAAAUAAUAACAUUUCAGACUGAAGUUUUUUUUACAUUGUGUAAAAUAAAAAAUAAAAAUCACUUUCUAAAUAUGUUCAUUGUAUACGUUCGACCUUAACGUUCUAUCUUCCAUUUCACCCCUCUGAUUCUAAAAAUGUUCAUUAUCCUUCAAAAAGUCUUAUGGAUAUUUGAUCAUAUACCAUCUUCCUAGUACAUGUAGUUGGAUUGUACCAAUUCAAUGCUGAAAAUUUUGGCGAUCCAUAAUGUAUUUUUCAAUAAAAGACAAAAAGAGAAUUAAACAAAAAACAUUAGCAAAGGGCUUUUUUUAAUAACGAAUAUGCUAUUAUCUAAUAUGUAAGAAGUGUGUGAGAUGAAUGCAAUAUUUCAAGUUACGCGCAGUUGAUAGCGCCCAUAAAAUGAACUUUUCGUACAGAGAGAAAAAUUGAUAAUAACUUUGCAUUGGUAACCCAAGUACUUUCAAUGCAUUAGAUGUAUUUUGUGCAUCGCUUUCUUGUUAUUUGCAUGUAUUAAUGCCUGUAAAUAAAGCUAAAUAAAGGGUAAUAUGGACUUUGUACUUUAGCAUUAUUCCAAAUUCAAUAAAUUAUCUAUUUAAAUGAAAUACAUUAAUUAGAAAUUUUGUCCAAAUAAAUAAAUUAGAGAGAGUAUGAUUAUUUUACUCUUUGUAUUAGUUUUAACUAUAGUUUCUCCUUAAAUAUGAGUUAGUGAUCAACUUACGGUUGGUUUGAUUUAACCUGAACUAAAUCAAUCCAAAUUAUAUAAAUUGAAAUCUUUUAAGAUUAAUAUUAAAUUGAUUAGUAUUUAAAAUUAUAUUGAAUUAAAUCAUAUUGAUUUGGUUUUGUCAAUUUUUAGCCUUUUUUUUUCCGACGAAUUUAAGUUUAUUUUAGACUUAGUGAAAAUCAAAUCAAAUUAGAUAAAGAAAAUUUUUUUAUAUUAAAAUCAAAUUCAGACUGAAGUUAUCGCAAAUCGAACUGGAUCAAAUUAAUUUGGUUCCAUGAUUUAUAUUGAACUAAGCUUAGCCGGAGAUAUAAGGCGCAAGCUUUGCUUCUCCUUUUAGAUCGAAGGCUUUUGCUUCUCACUUUGAUAGAGAUAUGUUGCUCUCGAGAUGAGGAUUGUGCAUUGGCUCUUUCUACAAAAAUUCAAGUUUCUAUAGCUCCUUCAGAAUGACCUUUUGGUUCUUCAAUGAUGGGUAUGAUCAAGGUUUUUAAACUUGAUUUGAACAAAAGGCGGGUAUUGAUCAGAAAACUUCUUCAGCGGGAUCGAGAUGGUAUGUCAGUGGAGGAAUAUGAUGCUUUACGAACAUAAUGGAAUAUGAUUCUUGACACCGAUGAUCUGCAGCGUAGACAGCAGGCUAAGAUUUUUUAGGCUCAGUAUGGAGAUAAAAAUUCCAAAUUUUUUCAUGCAAACAUUAAGGGUCGACACAGGUAGAACAAUAUUUUGGGGUUAUAGUCAGAUGUAGGGAAUUAUGUUCAAGACAAGAAGGGUAUCCUUUGGCUGAUAUUUGAUUAUUUUCAUUGAUUAUUUGUUUCUGGGAACUCCAAUCCAGAUGGAUUAUGGGACUGGUUAAUAAAAGAGUUACGGUUCAGGAUAAUGAACUAUUAUUAGCCCCUUUUACUGCGGAGGAGUUUCGCACGGCUGUGUUUCAAAUGCAUCCAAAUAAGGCUAUAGGAUCUGAUGGCCUAAAUCCUGUAUUUUUCCAACGAUUCUGACAUAUCAUUGGAAGGGACGUGGUGACUGGCUGUACUUCUUUGUUGGAACAAGGCAUUUUCCCGCAUAGCGUUUCUGAUACUUUGAUUGUGCUAAUUCCAAAACUUAGUACAUUAUAGGCCUAUUUCUUUAUGUAAUGUGUUGUAUAGAAUUUUGGCUAAAGUUUUAGCGAAUAGGCUUAAGAAGAUUUUACCCCAUGUUAUUUCUCAAAGUCAGUCUGUUUUUGUACCUAGUAGGCUAAUUACUGAUAAUAUCUUGGUUGCUUUUGAGACUAUUCACAGUAUGAAAAGGCUUUCUUGGGGUAAUACAAGGUCUGUAGCUCUGAAGAUAGAUAUCAGUAAGGCUCAUGAUAGGGUGGACUGGGAUUUUUUGAAAUACAUGAUGAACGGCUUAGGUUUUGAUUCUAAAUGGAUUGAGUGGAUGAUAUUAUGUGGUAUCGCAUGUUUCUUAUUUUGUUUUGGUUAAUGGGGAGGUUGUGGGGCCUAUUGAGCGUAGAAGGGAUAUUAGGCAAGGGGAUCUGUUAUCUCCAUAUCUUUUUAUUUUAUGUGCUGAAGGACUAUCAGUUUUAUUAAAUGAGGUAGAGCGAAGGGGGGAGAUACAUGGGCAUCAUGAAGGGGUCGGGUGUCCACGAGUGUCCCAUCUUUACUUUGCAGAUGACUCUCUUUUAUUUUUUAGGGCUAAUAAGCAGGAGGGUCAAAGGGUAAAGGGAAUUUUGAGAGAAUAUGAAUAUGCGUCUGGCCAAGCAAUUAACUUUCAAAAAUCCGGUAUUUUUGUGAGCCCGAAUGUUAAUAAUAAAGUGUGUGCUAGGGUAUCGGGGCUUUUGGAGGUUCAUAAUCCUGUAGGAGGGGGUAAGUAUUUACGAUUACCAUCUUUGAUCGGACGUAAUAAACGCUAGAUUUUUUCCUUUUCAAAGACCCGGUUAUAGAAUAAGGUUCAUGAAUGGCAGAAUAAAUUAUUGUCUUAGGCUGGGAAGGAGAUUUUAUUAAAGUCUGUAGCGCAAGCACUUCGUACAUAUUUGUAAGGGUGUGAGUCCAGCAUCCUUACCCAUGGUGCCUUACCAUGGCGACCCUAUGGACGAAAUAAGGCUAUUGGAGACGAGAAUAGCAUGUUGAAUGGCAUAUGGACCAAGAAUAUGAGAGGGGAGAUCCGGUGUAAUUCUCUCCGCCUCCCCGGGGCCGGGAUGCGGGACCCAGCCCUAGUGAGCUAGGUGCGGGCAUCAUGUCUAUGAAGAGGGAUUGAUGUCUCCAUAGAGAAGGAGCUCUAUGGACACUAUAAGGCCGAGGGCCUAUAGUGCGCAUCUCUCCUCAAGUGAAGGUUUCGGUAUAGGCAGGACUAUGCAGCCCGGGAUGCCCGAAGGCAUUGAGCCCAUAUACGGUAGUGCGAGAUCCUUGGAUAUGCAUUGCUAGAUGAGUCCUACAGUCGGAAAGGAUGCAAAGAACCUUUGAAUAUGCAUGGCUAGCCUAGAUUAUGAGCUAAUUCUAGGCGCCACACGCGUGCCAAAGGCGCCGAGAUUCUGGCACCGAGAUUCUAGGCGCCAAACUAUAAAAAUAAUAAUAGUUUGUUAAUUGAUUAAAAGAUGUAGCAUAGACUUGCUAUACUGAUGAAAUCAAGAUUUUUUUAAGGGGUCAAAAUAUAACACUUAGUGAAUUAAAAUGCAAAUCAUGUCUAAUAGAUCAUCUGUCUUUUAACAAGUUAUAAAAUGAUUUGUUAUUUUUGUGCAAGCAUUGGACAACCAUGGUAGUCCUAUUAUUUCCGUCUAUACAAUAAUAAUCCAAAGAUUAAAAUUGAAAAGGUGGACAAACGCCAAAUUGAAAGUAACUUGUUACCUAUUAUAAAAGAUAAUGGAAAAAUAUAACACCCAGUAAAUUAGAAAGCAAAUCAUGUCUAAUAAAUCACUUGUCUUUUAACAAGUUACAAAACGAUCCUUUUUUUUUUUUUUUGUGCAAGCGUUGGACAACUAUGUCAGUCUUAUUAUUUUCGUUCAAACACAAUAAUGCAAAGAUUAAAAUUUGAAAAUUGGACAAACGUCAAGUUGAAGGUAACUUAUAACCUAUUGUAAAAGAUAAUUGAACAAUAUAACAUCUGGUGAAUUAAAAUGCAAAUCAUGUCUAACAGGUGACUUGUCUUUUAACAAGUUACAAAAUGUUUUUUAGUGCAAACUGUUGGACAACCAUGGUAUCAUGUCUAACCGGUGACUUGUCUUUUAACAAGUUACAAAAUAUUUUUUAGUGCAAACUGUUGGAUAACCAUGGUAGUCCUAUUAUUUCCGUCUAUACACAAUAAUCCAAAGAUUAAAAUUGGAAAGUUUGACAAACGCUAAGUUGAAGGUAACUUAUUACCUAUUAUAAAAGAUAAUCAAAAAAUAUAAAACCCUGUAAAUUAGAGUGCAAAUCAUGUCUAACAUAUCACUUGUCUUUUAACAAGUUACAAUUGAACAGUUUUUUUAGUGCAAGUGUUAUGACAACCACGGCAGUCCUAUUAUUGUCGUCUAUACACAAUAAUCCUAAGAUUAAAAUUGGAAAGUUGGACAAAUGCCAAGUUGAAGGCAACUUAUUACCUAUUAUAAAAGAUAAUCGAAAAAUAUAACACCCGAUGAAUUAGAAUGCAAAUCAUGUCUAACAUAUCACUUUUCUUUUAACAAGUUACAAAAUGCUCCGUUUUUUUUGUGCAAGUGUUGGACAACCAUGCAGUCCUAUUAUUUUCGUCUCCACACAAUAAUCCACAGAUUAAAAUUGGAGAGUUGGACAAAUGCCAAGUUGAAGGUAACUUAUCACCUAUCAUAAAAGAUAAACGAAAAAUAUAACACCCAGUGAAUUUGAACGCAAAUCAUGUCUAACUUAUCACUUAUCUUUUAACAAGUUACAAAAUGAUCCGUUUUUUGGUGCAAGUGUUGGACAACCAUGGCAGUCCGAUUAUUUCCGUCUAUACACAAUAAUCCAAAGAUUAAAAUUGGAAGUUAGACAAACGCCAAGUCGAAGGUAACUUAUUACCUAUUAUAAAAGAUAAUUGAAAUAUAUAACACUCGGUGAAUUAGAAUGCAAAUCAUGUCUAACAGAUCACUUGUCUUUUAACAAGUUACAGAAUGAUUUCUUUUUUUAAUCCAAGUGUUUGAAUAACCAUGACAAUCCUAUUAUUUCCGUCUAUAUACAAUAAUCCAAAGAUUAAAAUUAAAAAGUUGGACAAAUGCCAAGUUGAAGGUAACUUAUUGCCUAUCGUAAAAGAUAAUCGAAAAAAUAUAACACCCGGUGAAUUAGAAUUCAUAUCAUAUCUAACGGAUCACUUGUCUUUUAACAAGUUACAAAAUGAUCCCUUUUAUGGGGUCAAAAUAUAACACUCAGUGAAUUAAAAUGCAAAUCAUGUCUAACAGAUCACUUGUCUUUUAACAAGUUACAGAAUGAUCCGUUUUUUAAGUGCAAGUGUUGGACAACCAUGACAGUCCGAUUAUUUCCAUCUAUAUGCAAUGAUGCAAAGAUUAAAAUUGAAAAGUUGGACAAAUGCCAAGUUGAAGGUAACUUAUUAUCUAUUAUAAAAGAUAACCAAAAAAUAUCAUUUUUGCCUUUCUCUUAAUUCAUUCUCAUUUGUCUCCUCUCUGUCCACUCCAUCUUCCCUCACUAAUUUUUAUUUUUUCCCUAAAAUAUUUUUUUCUUACUACCCAUUCGGAAAUUUAAAUAUGUACUUUAAAACUCAUUAUUACUAUUUAAAAAAAAUUGUUAUAUGACCUUUUUAUAAAGCCAUGUUGGCACGCUAAUUGCUGACCCAUUUAUAAAUUUUUAUCUUUGAGCCUUGAUUAAUUAGUUAACGAUUGGGCUUACUCUUUAUUAUUAUAUGUUUUUAAUGUUCGACACACCUUAAUUAAUUAAUUUGAGGGUCUCUACUUUCUCUUAAAAUCUAAAAACUCUCUUUUUUUUUUUCUUUCGCUGGAGGCCACAUGUGGUCAUUCAUUUCCCUUAUUUAUUUAUUUUUUCGAAGAAUCCCUUAGAUUUAUAUUUUUUAAUACAUAUUUGAACUAUUGUUGUCUGAAUAUUGAUAUUUGUUAUUACUCAUAUCUUGAGAUUUUGUUUUCACAUGUAGUUCUUAUUUAUAUUGUCACCGUUAUGGUGAUUUUAUUUAAAGUAUUUUAUCAUUUGGACAGUUAUACAGAAAAAAGUGCAUAUCUACUCUCUAAUAGAAAGAAGAAAUUGAAAGUCCUCAUAUCAAACUUGUAGAAAGACAAUAGAGUCGAAUAAUGGCCAUGAUAGCCACCAAGUGAAGUAAAUGAUCGCCUACGCACAAAUAUUAUGCUAUGUUAACUAAAUCAAAUACUUCAAAACAAGAUUAUGUUUUUUUUUUUUUUUUUUUUUUUUUGUAUAAGUGGUUUAUUAGUAGACUUUCGGCUCUUUGUCUUAAUUGCGUCUGUUGUAAUUACUAUCUGCAUUUCCAAUUCUUGCUAUUUAUUUCUAAUUUUAUUUUUUAUAAAGUCCUAUAUUGAUUACAAUUUUUGUAAUCUAUUUUUUUGAGUAAUUAUUUUGUAAAAUUACAUAUGAACAUUUGGUGCAAUAUAUACCUCUCUGUUUUGAUUUUUCACAAGAAUUAAAAAAAAAAAUUUUGAACCAUCCUAAUUCUAGAAAUAAAAUAAAAGUUCAAGUAAUGCUCAAUUAAUUGAGGCAAAAUUUAGUAUAAAUAUCUUGAUAAGAAAAAAUUAGAAUAAAAUAAUUAAUAUUACUUUAAUUUUCUAAAAAUAUAAUUUGAAUGAAGUAAAAAAUUUAAAAACUGUCAAAUUUAACAUAACGUAGUAUCAUUUGUUUUAAAGUCAAAAAGGUCCAUUUAAUUUAUUUAGGAUCUGUUUGACAAUAUUAGUUAUUUUAGGCUACAUUUGACAACAAAUUUUUUAAGUAGUUUUUAAUGUUUUCUAAAAAGUUAUUCAAACAGCUAACAGUUAACCGUUACUAAAACAACUAACUGCUACUAAAAUAACUCAUUUUGCUGAACAUACCAUUAGACUAUAUUCGGUAAUAAUUUUUUAAGUAGUGUUUAAUGUUUUGACUAGUCAAUAUGUUAAACGUUAUCUUUUAUAAUAUUCGGUAAUAGAACGUUUGAAUUAGUUUUUAGAAAAUAAGAUUUUAAUAAAAAAUUAACUCAGAUAACAUUUAGACUUUAGUGUUUUAUGAAAAACUACUUAAAUAGGCACUAGCUAUUCAAACAACUAAACGCUAUUAAAACAGUUAACAACUACCAAAUCAACCAAUUUUGUUGAACAAGCCCUUAGUAGAUGUUAGUUGUAGUAAUUGUUAGUUGGUCUAUUAGCUAUUAGCUAUUAGGUGUUAGUUUUUAGCUGAUAGUUAUUUAUAUAGCAGUUUAAAUUAGAAGUGUUCAUUAAAAAUAGUUGUUUAACUUAAAAUGAUAAAAAAACAGACAUUCAUUGUUUAAUUAGCAGAAUUCAAGGAAAAAAAAUAAUGGGUAUAUAUGCUUAUCAAAAAAUUUUAAUUAAAAGCUAAACGUUGGAGUCUUUAACGAUUUACGAAAAACUUUAUAACCUUCUAAAACCUACUAUAAAAGUAACGUUAACGCUACAAUUAAUAAAAAUAAAAUUUUGACUUAGGUCAAUAUAUUAAAAGUUAUCUCAAAAACUAUUGAUAGUCCGCGUCUUAGUUUGGUUUAUUUAAUAACUAGCACGCCCAACUUUGUUUUCAAGUUGUUUACAGCUUUCAAAUUAUUUUUCUGUUCAUUUUUUGAAGCCACAUCAACACCCCAUGAAUCAAAUUGCUAAUUAAUUUCAUGUCUAUUUUGAAAUACAUUGAUAGAGACAAUUAACGAUAACUGUUAUUCCCUCCAAUUUUCAGUUUCUUCACACAAGAAAAUGAUUAAUUUACCUUAAUUCUAUAAAAUUUUCAUUUCAAAUUACCUAAAUACUCUUUCACCUUUUUAAAUUUUAAUAUUUCCUUUGGGUAAAGAAAAUUCAAUAAAUAAGGGUAAAGAAAUAAAAAGGCAAUAAAUUCUUUUUCAAAUUCUAAAAAUCUUAAAAAUUGAUAGUUUUAGGGGAACAAAGAAAGUAAUUACAAAAGCAUUAAUUAAAGAGUUUCUUAAAUUUUCAUUGAGUUGAAUAAAAUUUAAAAAUUUUUAAAAUAUAUAGGUCAGGGAAUUAAAAAGUACUACAUAUAUUCAGAGAAUUAAAAAGUAUUAUUAUCUUCGUUUAAUUUUGACACUUUUUGACUUUUUUUUUACAAAAAUUAAGAAAAUAAUUAAACUAUUUAAAUUUUUAAAAAAUAAAAAUAAAUGACUAAAUUAUCCUCUUACUAAUUUUUAUAAUUAAAACGGACAAAUUAUAAUGAUAACAACCAGAUAAAGGUGGUAUCAAAAUAAUAAUUAAUAUUACUACUUUUGAAUUUUAAAAAGUAUGAAUUAAGUGAAUAAAAAAUGUGAAAAAAAUAUUAAAAUUAACGAAUGGAGGUAACAAAUAUAUCAUAAGAUGUAUUUUCAAUAAGAAUUUAUAUUAUAUAUCAUUCGAUGUACAUGUGGACAACUAGCCGUUAUAAUUUGAUUAUCAUAUUUAGGUUGUCAUAUUUAAGUUAUUACUACAUUUAUUAAUCUAAUACUUAUGCUCCCUUUUUCUUUGUUAAGAGAAAACAGAAAAUGCACAAAAGUGAUAGUUAAAUUGAAUACUUUUUCCAUUUUUAUUUAAUAUAUUCUUAAUUUGCAUUAAUUGCUCUAUUAAUUAUGAUGGAGCUAACUCAUAAAAAGAGUGUCUUAAGGGCACACUUAUUCAGCAAUUAAUGCCUAAAAUGGAAAAAUAUUUAAGGAAAUGCUGCAAUUGUUUUGAGAAUUUAAAUUUUUUCAAAUUUGACUUUCCCACAUUUAUAUCAAGUAUUGAGCAAUUUCAAUGAUAUGCACCCAAAUUUAAUGAAAAUUUGGAGUUAAAAUUUUUUGUUACCGCAACAGUCUUCUCAGUGUGAUUACAUAAAAAUUUCUACCUGACCUAAAAUAUGUUAUUGCAUUCACAGAGUUUUAAAAAUAAGGGGUUAUAAUUUUUCAUACUUUAUAGAUCCAUUAUUUUUUAUCUUAAUGACAUUCCAAUUAAUUCAGACAUAUAUUCUGAAAAUAUGCGUGCUAUUUUUUAAUUGACAGACUUGAACUACUUACUUGAUGACCAAAAAUGAAUUUUCGAAAACAUAAUAUUGAUAAACAAAUAUAAAAAAAUGAGCAUGCAUUUAUAAAUGAAGCACAUUAGAUUUGUACUCCUUAACCAAAACAGAUUUUUGUGCAAUAUAUUUUUAAUAUAAACACAUUCGUUAACUCUUCAGAAGUUUAUAAAUUUGUGAUAAAACAAUUGUUUACAUUUGCUUUGAAAACACAAGAGCAUUAAAUGUCUAACCUUUUUUUUGUCUGUCACUUUCUCUUGCUAACCAUAUACAAUUAACACGGAAACUCAAAUCAAGUGAGAAUUCAAUUCAAAUAAAUUUCUUUACGUAAAAAAUAUUCUAAAUAGAAUUUUUUUCUAAAUAAAGAUAAUAUAUGGAGUAAUGUUAAAAUUUAAUAGCAAUUAAAUAACAAUUUAUGAACAAAUGGCGCUAUUAUUCUUUUUAUAUAUUAACAUGAUCAUUAACCGUAUACUAAAAUUCUGACAUGGAAUAUUUCUUCAUCUCACAAUGAAAUGAAAUGUCUUAGGUUUUUUUGUUUCUUUAAUAACCGCUAAACUGAGUCACAAAGAAGCUAUACUAUUAAUGCAUAAUUGCAUUCCUAUGAUUAAGACAGCACAAGUCACCAUCUCAUCAAUGGAGGAGACCUCACGAUAAGGUUAAUGGCCGCGAAGCUAUAUUAGUAUUUUCUCUGAAAUGAACACCGGAUCGACACGUGUCACUGAAGAGAACAGACUGCUAACAGAUAUUGGCGUUGAUUUCUUUCUGGCAACACAUCGGCUAAUCGCCUAACCCAAUACUACCGGCUCUACCUUCAAAAAGUACGAAAAACUUGAAACUCGCGUCAUAUGAUCACCGCGUGUCCAGUGGCCAGGUGUCUAACUUGUGCAGAGAGUAAAGAUAGAUGUACUCGCUAGCGAGUGAAGGAAAAAUAAAGAAGGCAACAGGACUAGCGGAAACGGCUUUGAGGGAGUGGAUAGCGAUACGGACACUGACCAAUUAUAGGGGCUCAUAGCGUGUGCCGAGAGAGUCACGUGACCUGAGUACGGUUCUCUCUGAAGGCUCUGUUUGGAGUUCAAUUUAUUUCCAUGGCACUUCAAUAUUUUUGCCUUUUUUUUCAAUUUUUAUUUUUCAAAUUUCAAUUAAGAUGAAAAUGGAAAAUCACCAAAAUUUCUUUUCUCACAACGUGGAUACUCUUUUCAUUCCAAAAAAUAAAUAUACAUUCUUUUUAUAUUUGUUCAAAACUAUAUAGCUGUAUUUCCUUUUUUACAAGAUGAUAAUCUUUAUAGUUUUUAUUUUACUCUUAUUUAAUAUGUAUUUUUGUCAAGAAAUAUAUUAUUAUACCAUUAAUCAAAAUAUUGAAAUAAAUUGAUUAUUAUUGGCUUUUAUAUUAAUGAAUUCCAUAAUUUUGAAAUAAGGAUAAUUAAUAGUUAAUAUAAGUAUAUAUCAAUAAAAAAUUAAGUAAAAAAUAUAAUUUAAUAAUAUUAGUUGUAUUUUAUUUAUCUAUGUAAAACUUAAAUUGGACCCAAGGGACUUUAUAGUUAAUUUAACUAUAAUUUUGGAAUCAAUUUGUAAAUCAAUUGACAAUUAAAAAAAGUUAUUUUGAUUGAAAAAACCAAAAUAUGUAAUGAAACUAUAAGUUAGAGACUUUGUCGUAAUUUUUAAAAAUAAAAAUAUUUGUAUAUUAAUUUAAUUAUAAUUUAGGCAUCAAUUUUUUAAUUUUUCUAUUAUGAUGAAAUGAGAAAAGUAUUAACCAUAAGAAUUAGAAAUUUCUUACCUUGAUUUAUUACAAACCAAUAAAUUUUAUUGACCGUGAUAAUAAGCUUUACGUCUAAUCUAUAAAGGUAAGGUUUUGUUCAUCUUACAAAUAUUUAUAAUGCUUAAAAGUUUGAUAAAUUCUCUAAGAAAUUAUUGAGUAAAUCGACUGUAUUACCUUUAAUUUAAUAUCAAUUCUCUAAGAAAACUAUUAAAUUAAAGUAAUAAUUAUUGGUAUUAUGCAAAAGGGAAACAUAGAAAAAAAGAUUUAUUACUCCUUCAAACCACAAAUGUGACAAGUAUUUUCGAGUAAACUAUUUUCUCAAAUGUGACAUGUACUAUAGAAUGGAUGUAGUAUGUAUCUCUAUAAUGAAAUUUAAUAAGUGAGCAUUAGUCUUUCAAAGAAGAUACUCUAUCCGUUUCAUUUUAAUAACAGUAUUUGAUCUUUUCACAGUGAUUAAAAAAAUGACUGCGACACAUUAAUUUUCUCAAAUAUAUGAUAAAAUGUCUAAAUUGUCAUUUUUAAAAUUAAAAGCUGCCAAUUUAAUUUUGUCAUAAAACACUUAAUAAAUAUGAGUAAAAUUGAAAAAAAAAAUUCAUAUACUCUCAAAAUCCUAAAUGAAUACUUAAAAUAGAACAAAGUAAAAUGUUCAUUUGUUACUAUUAAAAUGGAACAGAGGAAGUAUUAGUUUUGCAAAAAAGAAAAAGAAGACAUUAGUUUUCCAGAAAAGAAAGGAAAAAACAGAAGAAAUUAGUCUUGUAAAUUUUGUUCAUAAAUCACGUCUUCUCCAUUAAUUCAUAAAAUUGUUCUUCGUCACAGGGAUCCCAAUAGAGGGAAGACAUUAGUUUUUUUUAUUAUUAUAUUCAUUUCUAUAAAAUUUGAAUAAAAAUAUUUACAAAACUAAAAAAUAAAAUUCAUAAUAACAUCUAAAAUUUAAUUUUAUUAUUAAAUAAAAACGUAUUACACGAUAAUAAAAAUAAUAAUGAAUUUAUUAUAUAAAAUAAUGGUUCCCUAUUAAAAAAAAUAAACAAUAAUAAUUGUAACACAUAAAGUUAAUCCAACUUAUAUGAGAAUGUACAUGUUAAAAUUAAAUACAUAAAACAAGAAUUAGACUUAAGAUUAUAAUAUUUAUACAUAAACAUAAAGUAAAAUUUUAUGGAAUACUAAAAUUCAAUUACAAUUGAUAAUGAAUAAGAAGAACAAAUAUAGAAUAAUAUUAAUAUUUCCUACUAGAAUUGCAGAAGCUCUUGCAAUUCGUGAGGCAUUGAGUUGGAUAAAUUCCCACUCAUGGAGCUAUAUUAAAUUAGAAUAUGAUGCUGAAUUUUCACUUGUUUGGAACAAAUAAAUUCCAUAAAAUUUUGUGAAAUUCAUUGAGAAAUUUAUAUUUAUGUGUUUGGAAUAAAAAAAAAUGAGAUAAAUUUUAAUUCUAGGAAUUCAAUUCUAUGGAAUUCAAUAUAACUACACCAAAUUUCACAAAAACAGAUGAAAUUUUCAAAUGAAUUUCACAAAACUAAGUAAUUAAAAUUUUUAUGACAAAACUACCAUUCUCCUUCUACAAAGUCAAAUUUUCAAUUUUUCACUUAUUUAACUUAUUUAUUUUAUCAACUUGACCAAAAUCAUUUAAAAUUAUUUUUUAGAAAAUAUUUUCUUAUUAUUCUGUUUUUUUAUUUUAAUAUUUUUCUUCUUUUUAUUUUAAUAUUUUUAGCAUCUUUUUACUAUUGAGGAGAGAGAUUAAAGUUAAAUAUAUACUUAUCACCGAAUUAAACACAAUAAUUUUAUUAAUAUUUUUUAUUUUAUAUAUUUAUUUUUAAUAAAAAUAUAAAAAAUUAUAUAGCAUAAUAUAAAUAAAAUUGAUAUUAUAUUAUUUUUUUUUUGUGAAAUUUUACUAUUUCAAAGGAUAUUUGAGGAACAAAAGUUAUGAACUUUCAAUUAUGAAUUUAUUCCAUACAUGAUUACGUGGAAUUUAAUUGAUUAAUAUUUUUUAAUUAAUCAUACCAAAUAUAAAAAUGUAUUUACAAAUGAAUUAUAUUAGAAUUCAUUUACAAAUGAAUUCUAUAUUUUGAAUUCAUUUAUACGAAAAGAAUUCAUUUACAUGAAAUUUACAUGAAACAGCGCGCAUUAGCGUGAAUUCUAUCAAUGACUCCAUAUGAAGGGAUUUCUCUUUUUUUAGCUCUACCAUUACUGAUUCUAAAUCUCUAAUCACAAAAAUAACCAGUGUCGGUAUUCUUUUAUUUAUCAACUUGCGAAUGAUGUAGUUCAUAAUUUAGCUAAGGCAAUCUUAUUUUUGUCAACUGCACCAAUUUUAGUUUCACCUUUUAAUUGUAUUGAGGCUUGAUAGCUAUUAGUAAUGCAAUUUCAUAUUAUUUUCUAAAAAAAAUAAUAUUGAUAUUGAAUUGAAAUUAAUAGAAAUUAAAAUUAGUACAUCAACAAUCUCUCUCUAUAUAUAAGCUCAAUCAAAUUUAGUUACAUGACAUAUGAAACUUAAUUAUUAAUUAAUGAUGUGAAAUUUUAUUAUUUUUAACAUUUUUAUUUAAUUAUUUAAUUUGAAGAAAUCAAAUUAUAAGUCUUUUAAUUUUCUUUAUUCAAUAAUUAAUAACCAUCUAAUAAAUUUAUUUCAUUAAUAAAAAAAACUCUUUGUUUUCUUUCUUUUGCAAUAAUCAAUAGUCUAAGCCCCGUUUGUUACAGUUAUUUGUUUUUAGUUUUUUAUUUAUUAGAAACAUAAAGUUAUUUUCAAUGUUUGGUUACUUAUUUCUCAAAACUGUUGUUUUUUUUCUAAAAUUAUUUUUUUCUUUUUUUAGUUCAUGAUGUGAAAAAUUUUUCUAAUUAUCAAAUCUCUCCCUUAUUAAGCCAUUAAAGAUUUUAGUUAAUAAUAAAAAAAUCUAUGAAUAUAAAAUUUAAGACAAAAUAAUUAAAAAUAUUUCACACUUUAAUUUUUAAAUUUAAAGUUAAAUUAACUGUUGAUUAUUAUGUAUGCAAUCAAUUGAAUAAAAAUAUAAUAUCCAAGUUAUAAUAAACACAUAAUACUAAAUGACAUUAGAUUUAUAUGGAUAGAGAAAAUACUAAUAAUAAAUAUCUUAAUAAUACUAAAUAGAGAAGAGAUGAAAAAAAAAUCGUAAAAUUUUAAUAGAGAUAAUAAAACUAAUGCUUAUAUAUUUUGGAUAAAUGAAUGACAUUAGAUUUAUAUGGAUAGAUAAUAAUAAUAGUAAUAAUAAUAAUAAUAAUAAUAAUAAUACAACUUUAUAAGAAUAAGUCUUAUAAAAAAAAAGAGAAAUGUAGAAUAAAAAUAGAAAGCAUAGUUACAGAAAUCAUUAUUUGUGGUUUCAUAAAAUUUAUUUUUUGUUUUAAAAAAAAUUUCUAAAAAGUAAAAAAAAAAAUUAAACAAGUUUAAACAAACAAAUUUUGCUUAUUUUUUAAGGAAAAAAAUGAAAAAAAAACUUAAUUUAAAACAAACUGCACCUUAGUAAUUUAGAUUUUUUAUUAAUACUAGAAUACUAAUUAAUUUUUUCAAUAAUUAAUAACCACACUAUAAAUUAAUAUAGCAUUUUAGUAUUUUAUAAUUUACUUAUCUUCUUUUUUUUUUAAAUAAUUUCCUUUUGAGUACUGUGUAUAUGAUUGUACUACAUCUCCUAAAUUUAUCAUACAAAUUCUUAUUUUCUUUUUUAUAUUUAAUAUAUUUUUAGAUAAUAAAAAUGCAUACCUUGAACAAAAGACAUCUAUAAUUAACUAUUCCUAAAGUUUUUUUUCCUUUUCCAUUCAUGUAAUUGUAUGGUUUGAGUAAUUGUUUAAUUUGCAAAUUAGCUAAAAAUAUGAGUUUAUUGUUUUAAUUUAUUAGUGUAAAAUUCUUUUAUAAUUUUUAUAUGUAUAGAAAAAAUUGGAUUAGCAGUUUUUGUUAUCAUAGUCAAGAAUAAAAAAAAAGGCAUGAAUGACAAAUAUUAUUUUUUUUCAUCAUAUUAAUUUAUUUAUAUUUUUGAAUUAAAUUCGUAUCAAUUAUUUAUAAAUAUUAAUCCACAUCGUGCAAGCAAACGACUAAUUAAAUAAUAAUACAACAAGCAUCGAGUGUUUGAUGUAUCCUUAACGGCAAAACACACGAUAUCAAAAGUAAAGAAAUCCUUGACGGUGAAACUAAAUAAAAUUACAUAAUUAUAUAUAUUGUGGUAAUGUAUAAUAUAUAACUUUUAAUUAAGAUAUAUUAAAACUUUUACAAUAAGAUAAUAAUUCCUAAUAAAAAAACAAAAUUUUUGUAAUAAUUCUUAAUAAUAAAAAUAUGAUAAAACUCUACAAUAGGACAUGUGAAAUAUCUCAAUUAGAGAUAUAUUGAAUUUCUCAUUUUAGUAAAUUUAUAACUAUUUUGUACACUAUUAAAAAUUUUUUAUCUUUAUUACUUUUUAUUUUAUCUUUUAGCCAAUAAAAUAUAAAUUUUUACAUAUGAAAUUUUUAUUUUUUCAAGCAAUUAAAUUAAAAUCUUUAAAGAUAUUUUUGUUAAUUUAUAAAUUUAACAAGCUACUUUUAACUAUAUCAAUAUUCCAUUUCCUUUUCCCACUUUUAUUUGUCAUAUAUAAAUUAUAAAUAUAAAAUAAAAUUUACUUUCAAAUUUAUAUUUCUUCUUUUUUUGGUAUAUAUACUCAUAAAUAUCUGUAAUUUUUACAUGAGAUUAAUCUCCUUUUUGAGAUUUGUGUUUACCUCUAUUUAUAAAUACUUUUGAGAUCUAUUUCUUUUAACUGGAGACAAUAUUCCAUGUAUUUUUAAAUUUUUUUUCUUUUAUUAUAAAUUAUAGUAUUAUAUAAAAUAACAUUUGUACUAUCAUAAAAUUUUCCCUCUUACUUAAAAAAAUCCAGCAAUUAAUUUUAAUUAAGAAGACCUCUAGAAAAUCUCUAAUGUCACUAAUUUUUCUAAACAAACAGUCCUUUAUAUUUUCUCUCUCUGUCACUGUCUCCAAACCUUUUCAUAAAGAGAGAAACUUGUAACGUCAUUUUGAAACCAGAGCCCUCCCUUCUCUACUACUUUCUCUCUAUUCUCUACUCUCUACUCUCUACAGUCUCCUCUCCAAAAAUCGAAAAAAAUCCCGCUUACAACCGUCGAACUCUCUUGCUCUCUACACCUAUAUUUCAAACAAACAUACCCUCUUUCUCUGUUUUUAUCUUUGCCUUUGUUAGCAAUGGCGGAGUUUCCUCCAAAUUUGGAUGACGGAGAGCUAUAUCUUCCGUCUGAUAUUUUUCUAACUGAAGUACCCUCUAAAUAUAACCCAUAUCGUCUUUCUUGCAUGGAAGAUCUUGCUACUCAUUUCGCUUCUCUCUCUUUACUUAAAAAUCAACCAUCUUCAACCCCUUCAAGACCUCCUCCCAAACCACCGUUAAAUUAUCAGGUGAUUUGAGCAUUACCAGUUUAUUUUCUUUUUAUUUUUUUAAUGUUGUCAUGCAUGCUUGUCUAACUGGUGUUUUUGGCUCUAUUUGGUGUAUUUGUUUCGUUGUAGAAGGUAAAAAUGGCGGUUAGGGAUUUAUCGGCGAACCAUUUGCCAGCUGGGCAUGUUGGUUUUAAUGGCGGUGGUGGUGUUGCUGGUGUUGAGAUCGGUCAAAGACUUUACGGGUACGGAAACGGUUCCUUUUUAGCCCGGUCUGAACCGUUUUACGAAUUUCAAGUCCAGCCACAGGUGAGUAAACAGGAACAUAAAUCCGGUUCUGUUAUCUUUUUAUGGGUUGUCCUAUCAAAGGUCUUUACUUUUUGGCAGCUUUAAUAAUAGAUAUUAUAUUUACACUUACAGGGGCCUUAAAAAAAAAUUGAUGGGUUGGUUGUCAUGUAUAGGUUGAUAGCUACUUGGACACAAGGCCUAUGCUUUUGCAAAGGCCACGAACCCCAAUUCAGAAUCGGGUUUACCCAUUUCGAGGAAGUGGGUUUGAAUUUGGUGGCGGUGGUGGUCGUAGAGGGAGAGAAUCUGGAGGGACUGGUGUUUUUCACCCUCGUAUUGUCCAUAACUCCACAAAUGACUCUCCUUUUAAUGCUGAUUAUAAAAGGAAGCAAGGUGAGUUGGCUUGCUUUUGUUGGUAAUCUUGGUUUGUUUAGUUUUUCUUAAUAUGGUUUCUUGAUAUAUGGCCUUUGUUGGUGAUUGGGUGUUUCUAAUACGAGUUUCAGGUCAAGAUGGUGUAAAUGCAUAAGAAUACUUAUUUAUAGAAAAUAAAAUUGAAACACACUAGAAAUGUUAAACUUCAUUUGUGACUUGUAUCAUUUCUUGCAAUUUGUUUGUUUUUAAUAAUCAAAGUUUUAGGUGUGUGUAUGGGAUUUAUGUUCCAUGGGGUGUGUCCCCUAUAAUUUUGAGGUUGUGGGGUCCUAAACUCUAGCUUUUUGGGCUGAAAUAAGUUCUUUUGUGCUUUUGGAAGUAUUAAACUAAAAAUGGUGGCUAUAAUUCCUUCUUUAACUGACUGAACCUGUAAUUUGGGGUUAUGCUCAUGCUUCCUUUAGUGGGUAUAAACUAGCUUGUCAAAUUUAUUUUUAUGGAGUAAUCGGCCAUUGGAUUAUUAUCAGCUGUUAAGUGUCAUUAUCAAUAAGACUUGAAAUCAAAUCUCAAGAAAAUUGCUAAUAUGUCUGGGAUUUUUCUUGACUAAAAUUCCAUCUUUUUUAUAUAUAUUAUAAUAAAUGUCAUUAUCAAUAAGACUUGAAAUCAAAUCUCAAGAAAAUUGCUAAUAUGUCUGGGAUUUUUCUUGACUAAAAUUCCAUCUUUUUUUAUAUAUAUUAUAAUGUAAAAUUUCACUUCCUAAUGGAUUAAGAGUUGAUGUUUUUAUUCACCUGUGUGAGGUGAGGUUUUGGGGCGGCUUAGUAUUGUGAUUGACAUUGUUUUUGGGGAAAAAAGAAAAUCUUUUUAGAUGCUUUUGAGAGAAAAUAGUUUUGAGUGUCUUGGUGUUGCUAUUUUGAAGUUUAUAUUAUUAAUAUUUGUAAAAAUUAUCUUAAAAAUAAAUUUAAUGAUGUUUCCUAAAUCAUUUUUAGCAAUCUUUUUUCCCUAGUAACAGCUCAAACGGUAUUUGCUACAUUCAAAUUCCCUCCCAUAAUAUCCCCCAUUCCCCCCCACCCAAAAAAAAAAAAAACAGCAAUGCCUAACACACUCAUUUAAAAGAACAAAAAAAAAAAAAAAAAAAAAAGGAGCCAUGAGCUUUUCUUUUUCUUUUAACUGUUUUGUAGAUAGAGACCAUUGAGCUGUUUGGUGAUUAAAAUGUUGAACAUAACAAAUGUAUAAUAUGUAUGUCUUGUAUGGACCCAGAUGAUAAUGCUAUGUUCUCUUAUUAUUUUAUGAAGCUCUGUACUGGCAUACUGCAAAUACAAAAGAGGAAAAAAAAAAUCUGUAAAAGCUAUAUUUGCUUUUCUGGUAAUUGUCAGGACUCAGUUGCAUAAUAAGAAUGCUCUCUUUAAUUGCUGAGAGUUUCCAGAUACGAUUAUGAUGGUCAUGCGUACAUACAUACAUACAAAUAUCUAAGAAAUUAAUAUAAAAGAAAGUGGAAGAACAAAAGAAUAUUUGCAUUAAUGAUUUUAAACCCUCUGAUAGUUCUCUAAUCUGAUGUUUCACUUAUAGUAUAUUCUCUUAAAUUCUUGACAGGUGUGAGAAAUAAACAGGAAAUUCAAGUCAAUAGUCAACAGAGAAACUCCAUGAGAAGGGUUAGCAAGGAAGAGGAUUGUUAUUAUCAUCUUCCUCCAGAGAUGGGUUUGCCUCAAGACUGGACUUAUUGAGCUUAUCUUCUCCAAUUUCAGUGUAGAAGAAGAAAAUGAUUAGAAUAAGACCUUUGAGGAGAAGAAUAGAAGAAAGUUAAAUAAUUUGUAGGAUUUUGUGUGCAGUGCAGUGAAGGUAAAGAGAAAUAGGUAGAGAUUAGCAGAGAAAAAGGUAUGUUUAGUAUGUGUUUUAUGCUUGAAAGCUUUGUAGAAAUAAAUAAUGUCUAAGCUUUUGGUUUGGAGUGAAUUAUUAUUAAAUGGCCAAUACUAAGCAUUGAUGGAAGAAUAAUCAUUGAACAUAGCUCAAAGCUGGGAAGUGAAUUGUUGCCUUUAGAACUGUAAAAUAACAUACUUGAACUCUCCUUGAAGUUUAAAUAAAAAUAUAUGUUUCCUUUCUAAUUCUUUUUGAGUGAAUUUAAUGAUAAUAACCAAUAAACAUUGAUUGAAAAAAUCGAAACUUACCUAGUAAGUCGGAAAUUAUUGAUAACUGCAUGAAUUAAUUAGCCAAAAAGACUCGAUUGAAUUUUAUUUCCCCAAAAAUCAAAUCUUACCAAGUACUAAUUCUUAAUGUAUGGCUAGUCAAAAUACUAUUUUUUUUUUUGCUUUUGCUGUUGUACAAAAGAUAUGAUUUCUGUGUUUAUAAAGAAAGUCUAGUCGGUUUACAUGUGUUAAUGAAACCUACAACUAUAGAUUACCUAACCAAUUAAAUUUAUUAUCUAUCUAAUUUUUAUAUUUUCGUACUCUUCUCUUCCUUUUCUAUUCUUUUCAUUUAUGAGUUUUACUCGUAUCAAGUUUUUUUUAAUCAAUAUAUCAAUUAUUGUAAUCAUUAUUAUCUAUGAUCUAUAUUAUAUGUAAAAGUACGAAUGAAGGAGAGAUUGAGUUUUUAAAAUGCCCUUGCUAAAUUUAUGAAUUUACAAAGAUAUCAUUACUAAUCAUCUUCUAAUUAUGAUAUCAAUUUAUUAUUUUUGUUAUAUUAAUGUUAUAAAUUUAUUUUCAUUUUAGUUAGAAAUUUGUCCUCUCAUACCACUAUAUAUAUGUUUAAUUUUUAUUGCUUUGGACCUUUUGACUAUCAAAAAUUGUUACAUCGAGUUUUUACUAGUUUAAAAUUAUUGAGUUUGCAAUCAUGUCUUCUUGCGGUGAGUAUUAACCUUAACUCUCUCUAUUUACAAAUUGAUAUAAUAGUUUUUAUUUAUAGUUCUUAUAAUUUAGAUUUAUAGAUUUAUAAAUUAACUGUAAUUAUUUAAUAAUCGUGAAUAAUUACAAGUUUAAAAACUUUUCCUUCUGAAUAGUAUUAUCAUAAAAUAUUUUAAAGGGACGAACCCUCCAAUUAGAAAAUUUUUAAUUUUAUUUAUCGAUUAAAAUUAUAUAAUAAUUUUUAAGUAGAUUGAUUAUAUUAGUUUUCUUGAUCAUAUUAUUUUUAUUAAUUAACAAAUCUUAUUUCAUUAUUUCCAUUGCUAAGAGCUGACGAAGGUUCUACAGACGUGUUAGCAACGGAAUUCUUUUUCAUUUUUAAAGUUACAACCUAAAUUUAUUUUUUCGUCCCUUGCUGAGUUGGUUCUAUAAACCGUUUAGCAACGGAAUUUUUAUCCGUUGCUAAAAUUAUAACCAUAGCUCAAAACCUAUUUUCACUUCCCUUUCUCAUUUCUUCCUCCUUUUAUUUUAUAUUUUAUUAAUAAAAAUUUAAAUUUUUUUAGAUUGUAAAAUUAAUAUUUAGUAAGAUAAUAUCUUUUAUUUUUUAUUUUUUUAGCUUCAAAUAUCUCGAUAAAAAUAAGAUAGUUGAGAGAAUUACAAUAUUUAAAUUAUAAUAUAAUAAUCAUAAUUUUUUUGCAUGUAUAAGAAUUUCAAAUUAUAUAUAUAUAAAUUGUGAAUGAGGGAAAAAGUUGAAUUCCUAAAAUGCCUCUGCAGACUUUUAAUUUAAUUAGUUGAUUGAAGAAUAAUUUAGUGUUAUUCUAGUUAGGAGACUUUUGAAAUUUCUGUACAUAUAAAAAUACUAUGAUUUAAUAUCUUAUAAUUUAAAUAUAUUAUACUAUAAAAUAUUAAAUUUAUUAAUCCCUUAUUAGUAGCUCUUUUUUUGUUAAUUUUAUUGGUAUUUUAUUAGUUUUAUUAGUAACUCUAUUUUAUUAAUUUUCUUGAUAUUUUAAUAGUUUAUUAGUUAAAAAUAUCAUUAAAAAUAAUUUACUCCUAUUCUAAUUAGAAAACUUUUGGAAUCCCUAUACAUAUAAAAAUACUAUGAUUUAAUAUCUUAUAAUUUAAAUAUAUUAUAAUAUAAUAUAUUAUAAGUUUAAUCUCAUUCUAAUUAGGAAUUUGACUUUACUCCUAUUCUAAUUAUGAUAUCAAUUUAUUAUUUUUAUUAUUUUAAUAUGAUAAAUUUAACCUCACUCAAAUUUGUCCUUUAAUACUAUUAUAAUUAGGAUUUUGUCCUAUUAUAUCACUAAAUACACGUUUAGUUUUAAUUACUUUUGAGUUUUGACUAUUAAGAAUUUGUUACUCUUAACUAUCACAAAUUUAUUGCUUUUCACCAUUAAGAAUCAUUACAUCAACCUUUGCUAAUUUACAAAUAUUGAAUUUGCAAUCAUGUCUUCUUCUUGCGGUAAGUAUAAUAUUAACUUUCUCUAUUUACAAAUUGAUAGAAUAAUUUUUAUUUAUAUUUAUUAAGUAUGUUCUAGCAAUCACGGAUUAAACUAAGUUUAAUCUAAUUCGAAAUAAGAAAUUAUUAAAGAUUUUAAUUUUAUUAAUUGAAAAAUAAAGAUAAUUUAAUUAUUAAGGAUUUUAAUUUUUUAUUUAAAUAUAAAUUUUAUUGAAUAAAAUAAUAAAUUACAUUAUAUAUUAUAUAAGAUAUAUAUGGUAAAAAUAUAAAACUUUAAGGAUUUUAAUUUUAUUAAUUGAAAAUAAAGCUAAUUUAAUUAUUGGAAAUAUAAAAUUUACUAAAACCAAUCUGAUUAUGAGUUGUAAAUCAAAAUAUAAAAUUAGAUAGAUAAGUGGAAGGGUGAAAGAAAGAGAGAAAGAGAGAAAAAGAAUAUCAAUGAUAUAUGAUUCUAAUAUGUAAGGUCUAUGAGUCAUCACAUAAAAAUUAUAAAAAUUAAUGUAAUAAAGCAGCAAUACCAAUUGAUUUAUAAUUAAACUAAUCUGUUCAUAAAAAAAAAAAAAAUCAAGAGCCUCGAGUUAAUAAAGACUAAGCAGAUUGACGCAAAGACAAGCUUCAUUAGAGGCUCCAUUGUAAAAUUAAGACCUAAGCAUUAAUGAAGAAGCGAUGGGAACGACGGAACCUAUAAUAUUUUAUUGAUUUAUUGAAAAAAAAAUCAUAAUAAUAUUGCUUUUGGCGGGGUAGAGCGAAAGGUACCAGAAGACUAAUUUAGUUAGAGAUCAUACCCAGACUAUCUCUACAAAUGAAAUAAAUAUUGAAAGAGUCAAUAUUCGCGCGCGAAGUUUUUUUUAUAUUCUAAAGUAGAAUUUUUUCUAUUAGAAUUAUGAUAUCAGAAUUAUGAUAUCAGAUUGCUCAAAUUUAGAA